CCAACCGAAAGACCAAACAGCUUUAUAAGCAAACAACAUAAAGCAGCUGACAUAUAAUAAAAAUGUUUAUAUACAAACGUAUACCAGCUACAAUAAGAAGAACGCAGUAAGUGUGUGUGUGUGCAACAUAUUAAAAGCAGAAGCAUGAUUCCUCUUAUGUUUACGAGUCUUUGCAAGUUAUUUAGAAGAGUAAAAUCAAAACCAAAGAGAAACUGGAAGGGUAACAAAAAAACAUAACCCGAGUUUUCUUUUAUAAGAAAGUAUAAGGUGAAGAGUUCGAUUUAAGUUCUAGUUCAGUCCUUUUUUUAGCUCUAGUUCAGUUCAAGAUCAUUUCUAGUCCAGUUCUAGAUCAGUUGUUGUUUAGUUUCAGUGUUGUUCUUUAG